GCUUUUGCACAUGGUGUUUUGUCAUAAUAGAAGCUCUAAGACAGACAACAUGCUUGGCUUUAAUUUUUUUUUUAAACUGGGAUAUCCAUGAAUAAAAAUACAUAUGUUAUAAAAUAAAUAUAAACAUAAAUGCAUGUGAGAUGAAAUUAAACAUAGUUGAGAGUUGAAUUUUUUUUUCCUUCAUUCCUGUGGAUAUUUAAAAAUUGUCCCUGGGUCAAGUUAAAAGUCAGAAUGCUGCUUGCUUCUACUUUGUUUUAUUGACUCUGGUAGGAUUCUUCCCCCUCUGUUUGUCUUGGGUAGUAGGGCUUUUUGGGACGUUUUGACAAGCGACCGUGCAAGGAACUGUGUUAAACAUUUGAGGGCUGCUUUUGCAUAUGAGCAAAUUGUCUCUCUCCCGAAACUUCUCUCAAGUGUCGAUGACUGUAAAUUCUAGUUUCUUUGCACAACUGAUCCAUUUCCUUCUAUAUUGUUAUUGGAUAGGCUCUGGGAUUGUUUUUUUUUUUUUUUUUUUUUUUUUUUUUUUUUUUUUUCCCACUGUCCCGGUCAUUAGAUUGUUUAAAAUGUAGUAUCAUUCUCUGCUGUUUUGAAGACUUUCAGACACUGAGUUAUCAGGUACUCUGACUUUAGCUUUUGACUGAAACUCUCUUUCACUUUAUCUUGCUGUGAAAUCAUCAAAUAGCAACAUUUUAUUGAGGUUACAGCAUGGCUCUGGCAUAUUUCUGAGAGCUUUACACAUCUUGCUUGUUUCUAGCAACUGCACAAGAGAUCAGAGUAAUGUCUUUCCAUAUACAGUCACCUGAUAUCCUCUAUCUGCCAGACUAUGUAACUAUCUUAUUUCACAAAAUUUACCUACUGGGUAUCCUAGCUUAACAUUAUAUCUCAUAUUGGAGCAGUCAUUGUUCUCUCUAAGGAUCUUGUGGCUUAUUCUGAUAGUGUGGUUUCUACCCAAUAUCCUAAAAGAGCUCCACACCUUUAUCAUAGUAAUAGAAAAUGAAAGAAAUUCAAAAUUCAUAGCGUGACAAGUCUUGGCUAUAUAUUAAACAUUGUCAAGGGUUAUUGGUUUUCUACCUGUGUUUAACACUAAAAUUAGUAUUAUCCUUCUGUUUAUUAUUAUAGAUAUCAUUUGAUAGCUUACUUUCAUCUCAUAAUGAUUUUAAAAAUCAAAGCUUAAAUAUCUUUAAAAAUUCUUUUAAAUUUAGAAAGUGGUAUAUGAGUGUUUGCACGCGUGCAUGUGCACACAUUCACAUGCACGCAUGCGCAUGCACUCCCAUGUACUACCACAUUACAUGUAUGUACAUGAGUGUUUGUUUCUGUGGAGCCCAGAAAUUGGGACUGGAGUUACAGACACUGUGUGACCUAAUUCUGGUUCUCUGCUGGAGUAGUAUAUGUUCUU
rnacentral:lncRNA from 1 species